GCCUGGGUGGCUCAGUCGGUUGAGCGUCUGACUUCGGCUCAGGCCAUGAUCUCACAGCUCGUGGGUUUGAGCCCCACGUCCAGCU
rnacentral:tRNA from 1 species